UCCUAAAGAGGCGGUGAAGUUGAUGUGCUUAGAGAAAAAGAGACCGCCAUUCAAGAUCAAAGUAAGAAGUUACCCUCCUGAUUUAAAAGAGUUGAUUGAUGAAUGUUGGCAUUCAGAACCUGUUGUCAGACCAACCUUUUCUGAGAUCAUCACAAGACUGGAUAAAGUUUGUUGCAACUGUUCAAAACAAGGAUGGUGGAAAGACACUUUUAAGCUUCCAUGGAAGUAACAAGGGAGGCAUUCAGUGACAUUUUCAAGAAGAGGAAACAUGGAACAAGACCGAGGAUUUUCGUCGACGAAAUUAACAGUUUUGGAGCUUCAUGUUAUACAUUGGUCAUUAAGGGGACAAAUAAAUUGGGAUUAAGAUCAAAAUGAGUUGCUGUGUCCUUGUUCUCUUGUUCCUUUGUAUGUAUAAUAUGUGCACCUGGGAUUCUUGUAUGAAUUGAAAUAGUAAUUUUACUUUAUAUUUCUGUA